UCACUAUUCCCAUUAACAAACUUGGAGU
rnacentral:piRNA from 1 species